UACGGAGGAGGCAAGCGUUAUCCGGAAUUAUUGGGCGUAAAGCGCACGUAGGCGGAUUGCUAAGUCAGGGGUGAAAUCCUGGAGCUCAACUCCAGAACUGCCUUUGAUACUGGCGACCUUGAGUCCGGGAGAGGUGAGUGGAACUGCGAGUGUAGAGGUGAAAUUCGUAGAUAUUCGCAAGAACACCAGUGGCGAAGGCGGCUCACUGGCCCGGUACUGACGCUGAGGUGCGAAAGCGUGGGGAGCAAACAGG
rnacentral:rRNA from 1 species